CACAACAUUAGGGUGGUCUGGUC
rnacentral:siRNA from 1 species